AAGGACGGUAGCCACGCUCCUGAAGCCCCAUUGACUGCCGCUGGUUUAGCGUAUCUCCUCCUCCUCAGCAGCCUAAGCCUGGGAGAUUGCAGGUGACCUCUCUUCCAGCUAAAGAUGGGGAGAGUAAGGAUGAGGGCCAUUAGACAUCGGGCCCUCAAGUAUCGGACAAUUGGGACUUUGGAACUCGGGUCGGCCUCCCACGCAGAGUUCGCUUCCCACCGUGGCAGGACCGCUGCAUACCCAGCGCCUGAGCGGUGUGCGCCUCUGCGCCUGCGCGAACUCCCUGAGACGCUGUUUCCCAGAAUGAGCCAACCAUUAAAGAGGCAGCGUGCACCCCAAGCAGCAAGAGUGGCAUCAGAACAUUCCUUCUCCAGGAACUACACUCAGCAUCUCAGCAUCAAGCUGCCAUAGCUUUGAACUGUGUCUGUGAGCAUCUGUGCUUUAUCUCAGUUUAUUUUGUGCAUCAAUUAGCAAGAUGUGUCUUAAGGUAUCAGAAAAGCCUAAGAAAGCUCGUAAGGGUUUUAUGUGUUAUUUGCUAUGAUUUGGUAAAUUAGCUUUUGGGUCUGGGAAUGCUCAAAGUUUUUUCCCGUAUAAACUAACGUUAAUUGUGUCUUCGCUGUACACCAUUUUGCCUUACGAAAAGUUUCAUAGGACCGCUCUGCUUUUGGAUAGCAGGGGAGACCUGUAUGUCUGACCUCCAUCUCAUAGGAACCAGCUUUCUGCUGAUCCUGGUUCUUAUCCCUCAGGAAUCUGGGUGAGUUCAGAUGCUAGACACUAUUUUAGAAGGCAUGAGGUAGAGAUUCACAUUCUGACAUGGAAUGAUGGCCUCAAUAUAUUCUAAAAAUGAAAAAGAACCAAGGUGCAAAAUAGCUUAUGUGUACAGAGGUUUACUAACUGUAUUAUACAAUGAAUUUUUACAAAUCAAUACAAAAAAGAAUCUAAUAAACUAGUAAAGCAAGAAUAUAAGUAGAUGAUUCACAGAAGAAAAACAAGUGGCUGAUAAAUACAUGAAAAUAUGCUCAACAUCAGUAAUAGUCUAAAAAAUCAAGUUACUCAGAUACCAUUUUAUAGUUUUCAGAUUGGAAAAUGUUAAAAAUAUUCAUAAUAUCCAAGGCAUCUUCACACUGUGUUGGUAGGAGUGUGCAAGGAAAGGGUUAACACAGGCCUGUUUUACUCAGUUCUUGUUUAUCUCUGUAACCAUGGCAAUGACCCUGGGCCAACAGCUGACAACUAAACUUCUAGAAUGUUUACACAGUUACUGGUUGAAGAUGUUAUUUUGUAUGCCUGAGGUGUGCCAAGAAGCAAGACAUACCAGGCUGUCAUCAUUGUUUAAUGUAAACAUGAAGAAUCCUGUGUACCUGGUGCCUGGUUUGGGGUCUGCACCAUGGCUGGUUACACGGCAGUACGGAGCCUGGGGCAGUGCAAACAGAGUGCUUGGCUGCUAACCAAAACGUUGGAGAUUCGAGUCCAUUCAGAGGCACCAUGGAAGAAAGGCCUCGUGAUCUACUUUCAAAAAAUCAGUCUUUGAAAACUCUGUGGAGCACAGUUCUACUCUGACACACGUGGAGUCACCAUGAGUGGGAGUUGACCCAACAGCAACUAGUUUACUAGCCUGUUUAAUAUACGACAGCUCACUGCCGUCUGCCCGCUAACUCAUACCAAUGCAUGAGGUCCAAGAUGUGAAUCUUGCCCCUUAGAUGCGGCACCUUUGCACAGCGCGUAACCUGCACACCUGUGUGUGCCAGUCCUGGGAAACACGUUUUACCUUUUAAUUAUCAAGCCAUUGUAUGCAAGAGAUAUUCUGAGUCCCACACCAUCACAGACCCCAACCUGGAUCUUGAUCCCCAUUCCUGACUACAGGGAUAAGGCUCAAGGGUGCAGCAAAACCAUCAACUGCCCAUUUUACCUGGUAAGAUGGAUUGAAUUUUAGACCGUGUCACAAGGUCUCAGCCCAGAGCUGUUCCCCGGCCCCCUGCACCUCCUGACUCCACAGCUGCUCCAGUACUGGGAGAGGUAGAAGGCCUUCAGAGCACAGGCAGAGCCAGGGAUGCCCCUCGGGGUCCUCAAAGUCAUGUUGGGGGAGAGGAAGCCCAGACUCACCUGGCC